rnacentral:tRNA from 1 species
GCCAGUUUGAUUUAAUGGUUAAGGUAUCAGAUUACAAAUCAGGAGACUGUGAGUUCUAAUCUCACUUUAGGCA